rnacentral:lncRNA from 10 species
AUCGUUACCCGAGCCCAGCGCCGGGCCAAUGUCCUAUCUCAGGGUUUCCCACGUCGCUCGCUCCUUGACGGCUGACCGACACUGGGUCUGAGGUGUAAGCGCUUUCCAGGCCCUUCCCUGGGGCUUGGAGGGGAAUGGCGCAAAGGACUUUUCUUACAAGCAGAGAGGUUGGACUCCUGAAAGCCUGGACAGUGUCAUCAUCUUCACCUGAAGAGUGGAAAAAUUCAAGCAAAGAGUUUCUCAGGAAAUGACCAAGUAAAACAUCUGGAGUAAGUCAGCAGGAUUCACAGUGACUCCCCCCAACCAGCUGGUGGUGUUUCUCUCUGAAAGCAGCGCUUGGUACCAGUGUGAACUCUCUUCCUUCAGAAGUCUCAUCAGGUGUUUCAGAUGAGUUCUCCGGAAUUUGGACCUCCUACUCUUGGGUUGAAGGUGGACGUAAUACGAGGGUCUGGUCCCCCAUACCUUGAGGACUCCGCUGCCAUCUGACAAUUACAGACAAUCCAAUUGUCCUCAUCCUUGAGGACUCUGCUGCCAUCUGACAAUUAGAGACAGUCCAAAACAUGCCACACUUUGAUCCUAAACACAUUCCUGGCUUUGGUCACUUUUGAAAAGUUCCUGAGUUAUGAGAAAUCAAUAAUAAGAGUGUUCAAAACCUGAACACUCUUUUUAGAAAUACCUGCUGGAACUACAUAUAUGAUUUAUGG